UACGAAGGGGGCUAGCGUUGCUCGGAAUCACUGGGCGUAAAGCGCACGUAGGCGGACUCUUAAGUCAGGGGUGAAAUCCUGGAGCUCAACUCCAGAACUGCCUUUGAUACUGGGAGUCUUGAGUUCGGGAGAGGUGAGUGGAACUGCGAGUGUAGAGGUGAAAUUCGUAGAUAUUCGCAAGAACACCAGUGGCGAAGGCGGCUCACUGGCCCGGUACUGACGCUGAGACGCGAAAGCGUGGGGAGCGAACAGG
rnacentral:rRNA from 1 species